CAGCGCUUGCCCACCUAGUGCAACAGGAACUACGGUUGGGUCACUUAGAAUGCUCGCUCAGUUGCUGGAACACUCCUGUAUUUGUGAUUCGCAAACCCUCUGGGUCCUACAGACUUCUGCAUGAUCUUCACGCUAUCAAUUCCCAGCUUGUUCCCUUCGGGCCGGUGCAGCAAGGUGGACCUCUGCUCUCUGCGAUCCCGAGGGGAUGGCCCCUUAUGGUCAUUGAUCUUAAGGACUGUUUCUUCUCUAUUCCUCUUGCUGAGCAGGAUCGGGAAGCCUUUGCCUUCAC
rfam:Meleagris gallopavo isolate NT-WF06-2002-E0010 breed Aviagen turkey brand Nicholas breeding stock chromosome 21, whole genome shotgun sequence.